AUUUUUCAAUUUUGCAGAUUCGGGCCGAAAUUUUUGCCAUCGGACGAAAAUACCCUUAUUCCUUUUCUUUCUCUCUCUUCUUUUUUUCUCUCUCUCUUUUUUUUUCCUUCGCUACUUUUUUUUCUUCAGCCACCCGCCGUUGUGCCCUCUGCUGCACCCCCGCCGCCGCACUCACGCUCGCCCUCGCCGCCGCCGCAGCGCUCGCGUACGCCUACCUCUACUACCAACCCCGCAUCCUCUCCUUCCUCCUCCUCUCCGUCCAACCCCACCAUGCUCGGAUUUUGUCACGCCCCGCCCCGAAUCCACUACCAAUUUGGCACGGUUCGGGCGCGCCAGACGGACCGCCGAACGGACAGCACCUCUCCUGUCCGCCAAAGGCCAAGCAACCAGAUCAUGUACAGUU
rnacentral:lncRNA from 1 species